UGCAAAAAAAGCAUUAAUUCGAUUCGAGGAUCCAUAGCUUCCUCGGGGGAGUUUACUGUGGAGCCAACUUUUUGCAGCUGAUCCGAAUGGCUCGCGUUCGACGAAGGUUACAAGAUCGGCGGAGAGCGUGGGCGUAGUCGCCGGCCGCGAAGAAACGCGCCGAUAGAAUCUGGAAAGUCCGCCUAAUCAGCACUCGGAAUCGAGCUACUUUUUCGUCCUACUGACUCAACGGCCUACUUGCUCGCUUGCUUUUCCAACCUCUUCGCGUACAUCAACGGCGUCAUCCCAGUCGCCUGGAAAUUACAAGCGUUUAUCGACGAGAACGUUUCUUGAUGCAAGGUACCAUGAUCUUCGACUAACCGGAUCCAUAACGCUGGUGAGAGGAGCCACCGAAGCAUCCUCCCCGACGUUCUGCACCGCCUUCUCCAAAGACUUGAGCAACUGGUCCAUC